GUUUUGUUGGGUCACUGUCUUCCUGGCCAACAUAUUCAAAGACAUGGAAGUAACAUAUUCGAAGACAUGGAACUAUCUUCGUCAUGGAACAUUCAGGCAUACCUCUGAAACAAGAAGAGCACAGUCAGAUACAGUCUAUGCAAAAGGAGCGCAGACAAAAGAACAGGAGGCAUUCUGAUCCCAGGCAUACUUCAGCAAAACAACAAGAUGUACACAAUAUAUGUCAGCAGAAACUCCUAUGGCAGAGCAGCACUGUAAUGUUUAUUUCCUGCUUUGAAGAUCAUGGAGUCAGAAUCAUUAAGGUUGGAAAAGACCUUCAAGAUCAUCUGGUCCAACCAUCCCCCUACCACCAAAAUUACCCACUAAAUUAUGUCCCUAAGUACCACACCCAAACUUUCCUUAAACCCUCACAGGCAUGGUGACUCUACCACCUCCCUGAGUAACCCACUCCAAUGUUUAACCAUUCUCUGAGAAGAAAUUUCUCUCAAUUCUCAAUCAUGUUCCUAAAAGGGC
rnacentral:lncRNA from 1 species